AACAAACGCUGGCGGCGUGCCUAAUACAUGCAAGUCAAACGGGGAAAGGGUUCGCCCAAGUACCAGUGGCGCACGGGUGAGUAACGCGUGGGUAAUCUGCCGGGAAGUGGGGGAUAACCAGUCGAAAGACUGGCUAAUACCGCAUAAGACCACAAGAUCCGAGGAUCAAGGGGUCAAAGGUUUUUCGCUUCCCGAUGAGCCCGCGUCAGAUUAGCUAGUUGGUGAGGUAACGGCUCACCAAGGCAACGAUCUGUAACUGGUCUGAGAGGAUGACCAGUCCCACUGGAACUGAGACACGGUCCAGACUCCUACGGGAGGCAGCAGUAGGGAAUAUUGCACAAUGGAGGAAACUCUGAUGCAGCGACGCCGCGUGAGUGAUGAAGGACUUCGGUUCGUAAAGCUCUGUCGUAUGGGAAUAAUAAAGUGAAGGUACCAUGCAAGAAAGGAUCGGCUAACUUCGUGCCAGCCGCCGCCGUAA
rnacentral:rRNA from 1 species